GACACCGCAUCAAGUCUGUUUGCAGGCUUAGUUAUAAUAAGAGAGGCGGAUGAUGACAUCUUCACACCCAAGCUCUUGGUGUGUAAAAAAGUUGCUCUCUCGACAUAUAGCUCGGCAGAAUAAAUUCAGGUCUGAACAAAGGGAAUCUUGAUGGCGGCAUCUGAAAUCUGACAUUAUUGGACAUUUGAGGAUAGAUUCAAUUAAUUUAACAGAAAAGAUGGGGUGCGCCUGCAGUUCGGACUCAGACAGCGAAUGGAUGGAGAACUUGGACGAAAUUUGCGAACACUGCAACUGUCCAAUUCCUCCCCAGGCCUGCAAUCCAUACACAGAUCAGGUGAUUCCAUAUCCAUCACAGUAUACGCCCCCGAUGUCACCUUUACCAGGUAUAUCUCCUGACUUUGUCUCUUUGCAGCAUAUUAAAG